rnacentral:rRNA from 1 species
GAUGAACGCUGGCGGCGUGCCUAAUACAUGCAAGUCGAGCGAACGGACGAGAAGCUUGCUUCUCUGAUGUUAGCGGCGGACGGGUGAGUAACACGUGGAUAACCUACCUAUAAGACUGGGAUAACUUCGGGAAACCGGAGCUAAUACCGGAUAAUAUUUUGAACCGCAUGGUUCAAAAGUGAAAGACGGUCUUGCUGUCACUUAUAGAUGGAUCCGCGCUGCAUUAGCUAGUUGGUAAGGUAACGGCUUACCAAGGCAACGAUGCAUAGCCGACCUGAGAGGGUGAUCGGCCACACUGGAACUGAGACACGGUCCAGACUCCUACGGGAGGCAGCAGUAGGGAAUCUUCCGCAAUGGGCGAAAGCCUGACGGAGCAACGCCGCGUGAGUGAUGAAGGUCUUCGGAUCGUAAAACUCUGUUAUUAGGGAAGAACAUAUGUGUAAGUAACUGUGCACGUCUUGACGGUACCUAGUCAGAAAGCCACGGCUAACUACGUGCCAGCAGCCGCGGUAAUACGUAGGUGGCAAGCGUUAUCCGGAAUUAUUGGGCGUAAAGCGCGCGUAGGCGGUUUUUUAAGUCUGAUGUGAAAGCCCACGGCUCAACCGUGGAGGGUCAUUGGAAACUGGAAAACUUGAGUGCAGAAGAGGAAAGUGGAAUUCCAUGUGUAGCGGUGAAAUGCGCAGAGAUAUGGAGGAACACCAGUGGCGAAGGCGACUUUCUGGUCUGUAACUGACGCUGAUGUGCGAAAGCGUGGGGAUCAAACAGGAUUAGAUACCCUGGUAGUCCACGCCGUAAACGAUGAGUGCUAAGUGUUAGGGGGUUUCCGCCCCUUAGUGCUGCAGCUAACGCAUUAAGCACUCCGCCUGGGGAGUACGACCGCAAGGUUGAAACUCAAAGGAAUUGACGGGGACCCGCACAAGCGGUGGAGCAUGUGGUUUAAUUCGAAGCAACGCGAAGAACCUUACCAAAUCUUGACAUCCUUUGACAACUCUAGAGAUAGAGCUUUCCCCUUCGGGGGACAAAGUGACAGGUGGUGCAUGGUUGUCGUCAGCUCGUGUCGUGAGAUGUUGGGUUAAGUCCCGCAACGAGCGCAACCCUUAAGCUUAGUUGCCAUCAUUAAGUUGGGCACUCUAAGUUGACUGCCGGUGACAAACCGGAGGAAGGUGGGGAUGACGUCAAAUCAUCAUGCCCCUUAUGAUUUGGGCUACACACGUGCUACAAUGGACAAUACAAAGGGCAGCGAAACCGCGAGGUCAAGCAAAUCCCAUAAAGUUGUUCUCAGUUCGGAUUGUAGUCUGCAACUCGACUACAUGAAGCUGGAAUCGCUAGUAAUCGUAGAUCAGCAUGCUACGGUGAAUACGUUCCCGGGUCU